UAGGGAAUCUUCGGCAAUGGACGAAAGUCUGACCGAGCAACGCCGCGUGAGUGAAGAAGGUUUUCGGAUCGUAAAACUCUGUUGUUAGAGAAGAACAAGGACGUUAGUAACUGAACGUCCCCUGACGGUAUCUAACCAGAAAGCCACGGCUAACUACGUGCCAGCAGCCGCGGUAAUACGUAGGUGGCAAGCGUUGUCCGGAUUUAUUGGGCGUAAAGCGGGCGCAGGCGGUUUCUUAAGUAUGGUGUGAAAGCCCCCGGCUCAACCGGGGAGGGUCAUUGGAAACUGGGAGACGUGAGUGCAGAAGAGGAGAGUGGAAUUCCAUGUGUAGCGGUGAAAUGCGUAGAUAUAUGGGGGAACACCAGUGGCGAAGGCGGCUCUCUGGUCUGUAACUGACGCUGAGGCUCGAAAGCGUGGGGAGCAAACAGG
rnacentral:rRNA from 1 species